GGCAUUGAAUAGAAUUCAAUUGGUAAAAGGGCUAGAAGAUGUGACGCUGUGUGAGAAAGAAGCCUGUAUAUUUGAGGUGGUCCUCAGUCAUGCCUACGUCCAGGGUCAAUGGAGCAGGGAUGGAGUCCCACUUAAAUCCAGGCCUGUGUGUCGAAUUGCCACGCAGGGCAAAAAACACACACUCACACUCACGCGCGUCACGGUUGCUGACAUGGGUGUCAUCAGUUUCAAGGCUGAAGGGAUUGAAAGCUCUGCUAUGCUGACAGUCACAGUCAGGAAUAUAAAGAUUGUGAAGGCUCUUCAGAAUGUCAGUUUGACCGAGAGGGAGAGCGUGACAUUUAUCUGUGAGGUCAACUGGGAAGAUGUGGAUGGGAAGUGGUACAAGGAUGACAGCCGGUUGAGAGCUGGGGACAAUGUUAAAAUAAGAUGUGAGGGUAUGUGUGAGAGGUUGAGUAACACAUUGACUGGUGGAUUAUUGUGUACAUUCAUGGGUCGUUCACAAAAUAUGGUGAAAAACAUGGCAACUUACUUUUUUUUCCAGUCAUGAAAAAAGAACGAAGACUUCAAACUCCAUAUGAAAAGCAUUAUACUAUAAUCUAACCUAAAGUUUAUUAAAGUUUCAUGCUAUAUUGCACAUAAAUACAUAUAUAUUUGAGUUUGUCAAGUGCCUAAAACCCUGUAUCACCUACUUCUAGUAAUUGUAAAAAAAAAAAAAAAAAAACUAAACAAACAUAAUAAUAAAAAAAUUGUCCCUAGAUUACUUGAUAUUUAC
ensembl:lncRNA